UGCAGUCGAGCGGAUGAAGGGAGCUUGCUCCUGGAUUCAGCGGCGGACGGGUGAGUAAUGCCUAGGAAUCUGCCUGGUAGUGGGGGAUAACGUCCGGAAACGGGCGCUAAUACCGCAUACGUCCUGAGGGAGAAAGUGGGGGAUCUUCGGACCUCACGCUAUCAGAUGAGCCUAGGUCGGAUUAGCUAGUUGGUGGGGUAAAGGCCUACCAAGGCGACGAUCCGUAACUGGUCUGAGAGGAUGAUCAGUCACACUGGAACUGAGACACGGUCCAGACUCCUACGGGAGGCAGCAGUGGGGAAUAUUGGACAAUGGGCGAAAGCCUGAUCCAGCCAUGCCGCGUGUGUGAAGAAGGUCUUCGGAUUGUAAAGCACUUUAAGUUGGGAGGAAGGGCAGUAAGUUAAUACCUUGCUGUUUUGACGUUACCAACAGAAUAAGCACCGGCUAACUUCGUGCCAGCAGCCGCGGUAAUACGAAGGGUGCAAGCGUUAAUCGGAAUUACUGGGCGUAAAGCGCGCGUAGGUGGUUCAGCAAGUUGGAUGUGAAAUCCCCGGGCUCAACCUGGGAACUGCAUCCAAAACUACUGAGCUAGAGUACGGUAGAGGGUGGUGGAAUUUCCUGUGUAGCGGUGAAAUGCGUAGAUAUAGGAAGGAACACCAGUGGCGAAGGCGACCACCUGGACUGAUACUGACACUGAGGUGCGAAAGCG
rnacentral:rRNA from 1 species